CAGUGGUGCUCAUUAUUUUUGGGUAACAGGACAACAUUAGAUGGUCAAUGUAUGAUGAGCGCUUCAUAUUACCUUGAAUACGCCGUUUCACAAUGAUCUCCAACAUAAGGGUCUCCAGGACGUCUGCUUCGCUUUAAACCAGAAGGUUUAUAAUGUGGAAUGAUAUGGCCGGGAGCAACUCUACGAAUCCUUCCUCUAUUCUGCAACACAGGCAAGACAUCCUGAGGCAAUGAUAGGCUUGGCUCUCACGUCAUCUAAUGCUCUCCACGCCGGACAAAACUCGACGGCUUUUCCCUCGAGAACUGAAAACUAUAGGACAUGAAGAAGACAACAAAGAGGCAGUUUCUUUCGAGGGUCAAGUCGUUACGUGUGGACGAGACAUUCACUGGUCUGGAGGGAUGAGCGUUCAGUUGGGCUGGACCAAGGUGUGACUACUACUAAGGCGGUUCCUACAGAAUCGUGCAGCGAAAGGUCUAAUGAAGAGAAGUCAACCAGUUCUUUAACUGCAGAGAGGUCAGUACCACUGACCGGGAAGGGAGCAGCUGCGAAGAGACGCCGGGAGGAAGCGAAAAAGAACGAGCUUAUAACACUCGCAAGAAAUAGUCUUCUUAAAGAAUCGUUGGAAGACGAACACGACAUCCAAGUAGUGUCUGGCCUUCUGCUGAACCACAGUAAGCCACCAGCAGUGGUGAUGAGAUCAUAAGAUCCUCACCAGUGGUGAUGAGUCAUAAGAUCCUCACCUGCUGGUGUUGCUGGGCCUGCUGGGUGUUUCUAUGGGUGAGGCACCCUCAUUACUGACAGUGGAUGAGGACCUGACUUUCCAAAUCAUCCAUCAUCCAGAUGGUGUUCCCUAGUGGCAGAUUGCUGCUGAGACUACAAAACUUCCCGUUGUGCCUGUCACCAUCUCCAGUUGUGCCUUUCACCAGCCCUCAUUGUGCCUGUCACCAGCCCUCGUUGUGGCUGCUACCAGCUUUCGUUGUGCCUGCCACCAUCAACCAUUACGCCUGCCACCAACUCCUGUUGUGCCUACCACCAGUUCCCAUUGUGCCUGCCACCAGCUCCCGUGGUGCCUACUACCCGCUCCCAUUGUGUCUGCCACCAGCUCCGAUUGUGCCUGCCACCAGCUCCUGUUGUGCCUGCCACUACCCCUUGUUGU